rnacentral:rRNA from 1 species
UACGAAGGGGGCUAGCGUUGUUCGAGAUUACUGGGCGUAAAGCGCAUGUAGGCGGAUCUAUAAGUCAGAGGUGAACUCCCCGGGCUCAACCCUGGAAUUGCCUUUGAUACUGUAGAUCUGGAGUCUGGGAGAGGUGAGUGGAAUUCCGAGUGUAGAGGUGAAAUUCGUAGAUAUUCGGAGGAACACCAGUGGCGAAGGUGUCUCACUGGCCCGAGACUGACGCUGAGAUGCGACAGCGUGGGGAGCAAACAGG